UACAGAGGUCCCGAGCGUUGUUCGGAUUCACUGGGCGUAAAGGGUGCGUAGGUGGCCUGAAAAGUUUGAUGUGAAAGCUCAGGGCUUAACCCUGAAAUGGCAUUGAAUACUGUCGGGCUGGAGGUUUGGAGGGGGGGACUGGAAUUCUUGGUGUAGCAGUGAAAUGCGUAGAUAUCAAGAGGAACACCGGUGGCGAAGGCGGGUCUCUGGGCAACAACUGACGCUGAGGAGCGAAAGCGUGGGGAGCGAACAGGA
rnacentral:rRNA from 1 species